UGAGCAAUCUGCCCUUCUCAUCGGAAUAAGCGUUGGAAACGACGUCUAAUGCCGAAUACGACCUCCUUUCGCAUGAUCGGAGGUGGAAAGCUCCGGCAGAGAAGGNUGAGCUCGCGGCCUAUCAGCUAGUUGGUGUGGGUAAUGGCCCACAGGCGACGGACGGGUACGCCGGCCUGGAGAGGGUGACCGGCCACACGUGGGACUGAGACACGGCCAGACUCCGUAGG
rnacentral:rRNA from 1 species